CUACCUUGCACUUUCCACAAGGGAUACAGGAAGGAGUUCCAUAUGGACCACAUAUGGGCUUCUAAGAGGCUUGAGGAUGGAUUUGCCUCUAGACACUGAUCUAAGCCAGUAGAUGGCAACAACCCAUCUGCGAAGCAGUCAGGGUGAUACCACAAAACCUCCUACCUCCGCAUCUGCCAGUUCCCAAUGAAGAUAAGAAAGAUUAAGAAAGUUUGACUUCUUUAUGACCACAGUACACGUCUUCACGGUUUGGAUGGUGGAUGCGGCACCUUGAGGAGCUCCAGGCCUGGGACCCAGUCCACCAAGCAUCAGUUAAUCCCCAGCUAUGAAAGGAGACCUGUUAUGGAGUUCGGGGGCCUCACUUGGUGGUCUAUGAGAACAAGCUGGUGCUGAACCUUUUGUACUUAGAGCAGAUUACCAGGAGGCUGUUUCCAGAUGCAGUACACCAGGGGAAAGAGGCUCUCUUUCUCUGGGUGGUAUGGGACAAAUCCAUUCCCCACACUUUUCUCAUUAGUGUAAUAAGCUUUGUAUAAACCACUGGACUGCCAUUGUCAAGGGCACACACACCAUCUCCUCCAUCCAUCCAUCUGUUCAUAUAGUACAUCUGUCAGACAUCUCUGCGCUGGAGCAAUGCAGUUCCAACGUGCAUGUACGUGAACGGGCAGGAAAUGCCUUACAGCUCCCGUCAGCAGAGGAGAAACCCGUUUGAGGUCAAGGGUCGCAAGAGGAAGGCAGCAGGCAUAUAUCAAUAUUCAUUUCCUUUUCUGGUACAUUCACAGACCUCUUGCUAGCUUCACUCCUUUAUAGAGUGUGUUAUGGAUCAUUACUUCUUGCUCGCUGCCUGUUGACAACAUUAGCUGCUCUAAUGGUCGUCUGUGGGAAACUCAGCACUGUGUCCUCCCUUUUGGUGUGUGUACGUCAAAUUCAUCUGGUUCUGGUGCUGAUAGAUGGUGUGGAUCAGAAAGAGGCCUGUGCAAGAGAAAAGGAAGACCCAUUCUAGUGUUCUUUGACAUCCACAUAAUUUCCUCAUGGCUGAACUCACAUAAAGUAUGCAAAGCAGUCUUGGUGAAAACGCAGAUGUGAUGCAUUAUUAUUAAGUAUCCACAGUUGUGACUGCGGAAAUUGAUAAAGUAUACUUAGAAACUUCCUUUCCUCAUUAGAAUGGGCAGCAUUUAAGGGCCAUAGUUUACCAACAUUCGGGAAUUGACAUUGGACUGAGUCUCUGUACUGUCACUGUGCAAACUGCGGGCGUUCUGUUGACUGGGACAUAAAAUAGUGCUGUUGGGUUUUGGGUUUCCAGAGCAGGAUCAGGGCUGCAGUAUAUUGAGUCCAUGUGGGGAGUGCGUUUUUAAUCUGAGCCUUACCCACAGUCCUUCCUGUUUCUAAUUUGGCGCUGCAGCGGUUUUGUCCCGAGGCCAAGAGCCUCUCUUCCACAGAGUGUCUAUUUCCUCUGAAGUGAAUAGUAGCAGGUGUGCUGGCCCGAGAUCCCUUGGAGAAGUCUGCUUAUGAAUGGCCCACAUCUCACUCUUUCUCGCCUAUCUUUGUUUUCUUUUUUCUUCCUUUCAUUUGUAUUUUUCAUUGUGUCUCACAUUCUUCCUCUCUUUUUCACAUUCUUUCUUUCUUUGCUGUUUUGUCUUCACCACCCUGUUGUCACUCCUUUGUCUCCCUCAUCUCUUAUGAUUUUCUUUCAUUUUCCCCCUUUGCUCUCCUUGCUUCCUCCAACAUCAAGGUGUAGUACUUUGAUAAGUCAUAAAGCAGCAGCGUGUGCUGAUGAAAACAAUAAAAGGCAACAGCAAGAACAAGGGCAGUACAAUCACAUAUCCACCCUGCCAGACAUCGGAAGUAAUAAAUCACAUAAAACAGUGAAACUGUCAAAACAUCAGGUAUUAGAUUUAGAAUUUGGUUUAUUGCAAUUGCUUUUGUUGUGGCAGACAUAAUACCACAAAUCCUUUAGCAGCUUCAACCAUUACUAUCCUGAAUAAAUGUAACUUGUACAGUAAAGAA